rnacentral:rRNA from 1 species
CGCCGGACCUGACUGCUAUCGGAUUGAUACUAAGCCAUGCGAGUCAUUGUAGCAAUACAAGGUAUACGGCUCAGUAACGCGUAGUCAACCUAACCUAUGGACGGGAAUAACCUCGGGAAACUGAGAAUAAUGCCCGAUAGAACAUUAUGCCUGGAAUGGUUUAUGUUCCAAAUGAUUUAUCGCCGUAGGAUGGGACUGCGGCCUAUCAGUUUGUUGGUGAGGUAAUGGCCCACCAAGACUAUUACAGGUACGGGCUCUGAGAGGAGAAGCCCGGAGAUGGGUACUGAGACAAGGACCCAGGCCCUAUGGGGCGCAGCAGGCGAGAAAACUUUGCAAUAUGCGAAAGCACGACAAGGUUAGUCCGAGUGAUUUCUGCUAAAGAGAUCUUUUGCAAGUUCUAAAACCACUAGUGAAUAAGGGGUGGGCAAGUUCUGGUGUCAGCC